rfam:Chryseobacterium indologenes strain CI_885 contig_2, whole genome shotgun sequence.
UAACCUCUGACGAAAAACGUGUAAGUUG